GCUUCCUCCCAUCCAUCAGCUCAGCAGCAGGCAGGAAGUGAUGCACCAGCCUGAGUGACACCAGUGGUCCCAGUCCUGCAGCUCCAGCGAUGCUUAAUGUGGGUAAGGACCCUGCAGGUGUGAGGAGGCACUUAGGGCCCAUCCCAGCAAAACCUCCCAAGCUGGAUCUGGAUGCUUCCAUCAGCAGAUUUGCCUGGGGUGAAUGGCCUGGGGGAUGCCCACAGGGAGAUGGAGGUGCAGGAGAGCCAGGCAUGAAGCUGCACCAAAGCAUGGGACACCAGGAUGUUGGUGCACAGUGAUGGGAAGAGUGGGCCACACUGAUGGUCUUGCUGCCGCUGCCUGGCUGCAAGCGGGGUCCUGUAUGAAACCCUAAACUGGCUGGGGUAAGUAUUUGGGGUCGCAGGUACCAAAACUAUGCAGGAGAGCUCUGAGUAUCAACCCUACCCAGAAGCCUUGCAGCUAAAACGUGGCUGCCCUCCCGCUUGCACCACCCACCUCCCAUUCCCAAAACCUGCAGAAGCUGCUGGUAUGGGAUGCUUGGGGAGGGUCGCAUCUCCCCGGACCCUGUCCCUAUCCCGCACCCAGCUCUGACCUGCAGUGGUGGUGUCCACAUCCCUGGCUGCCAUCUCCUCCACUUCUGCCCUCUUGCGCAGCUCCAGCCGCCGCGAGAAGCCCUCCCUGGGCUUCCACAGGUCCUG